rnacentral:rRNA from 1 species
AAUACCGCAUAGCCCCUGAGGGGGAAAGCGGGGGAUCGUAAGACCUCGCGUUAUACGAGCGGCCGACGACCGAUUAGCUAGUUGGUAGGGUAAAGGCCUACCAAGGCGACGAUCGGUAGCUGGGUCUGAGAGGAUGAUCAGCCACACUGGGACUGAGACACGGCCCAGACUCCUACGGGAGGCAGCAGUGGGGGAAUAUUGGACAAUGGGCGCAAGCCUGAUCCAGCCAUGCCGCGUGUGUGAAGAAGGCCUUCGGGUUGUAAAGCACUUUUGUCCGGAAAGAAAUCUUCCAACUUAAUACGUUGGGAGGAUGACGGUACCGGAAGAAUAAGCACCGGCUAACUUCGUG